rnacentral:rRNA from 1 species
UUAGCCCUAAACAUCAAUUAUCAAUAAACAAGAACAUUCGCCAGAGAACUACUAGCAACAGCCUAAAACUCAAAGGACUUGGCGGUGCUUUACAUCCCUCUAGAGGAGCCUGUUCUAUAAUCGAUAAACCCCGUUAAACCUCACCACCUCUAGCACAUACAGCCUAUAUACCGCCAUCUUCAGCAAACCCUACCAAGGCCCCAUAGUAAGCAUAAAAAUUUCACAUAAAAACGUUAGGUCAAGGUGUAGCCCAUGAGGUGGGAAGAAAUGGGCUACAUUUUCUAAUUUUUAGAACAACUUACGAUAGCCUUUAUGAAACCUAAAUGCCCAAGGAGGAUUUAGUAGUAAGC